GAGAGAGCGCAGUUCCGGCGCGUGGCCCUCUGCUCCGGAAGUGGUUCCCCUCAGUACCGCUCUUCGCGUCAGAGCCGGUCUCGCUUUUCCUAGGGCGUCGGCCGAAGCCACCUGCAGACAAGUUUUGGACGGAAGGGCCUCCCGUACGGGGUCCACGCAGCCGCGGUCCGGCUGGUGCGGUUAACGUGCCGACGGCGGCGGCCACCGCCCCUCCUGACCUGUCGUGGCCCGGCCGGCGACUUCGAGCCUCAGUAACGAGGUUGUGAAGAUGAGAAAAGAAGUGAAGAGAAUCCGAAUUUUUAUCUGAAAACUUGUCAAGAGUGUGAGCAGACUGGAGUCAAAAAAGGGUACUGAAGAUGCACUGUUAAAAAACCAGAGACGAGCACAACGAUUGCUUGAAGAAAUCCAUGCCAUGAAGGUUUUUAUUUCUACUGUAAUGUUAGCCAUAAAGUCUAAGAAGUUCAAGCAUUCAACAUUCAUGCUGUUUGGUAAUGUGGAUGGUGAUGUUGGAGGCUGACAUCAUGCUUUGCCUAUUGCCAACUCAAUAAAUUUUUGUGUGGUGGUGUCAGCAUUUUAUUCAGCUCUGUAGGAACUUGCAAUAAAAUUAGUGUUGGAUCAAAAUGAUCCAUAUUUUUGUUUCUUUCAGCCAGACUCUUCACUAGCAUAAUUUUUAGGUCUUCUCACUGCUGUUACUUUGUGGAAACUUUCAUUUACCAAGUGACAUACUAUUAAAUGUCUGCGAGACUGUUUUAUUGCAGAACUUAAACACAACAUUUGGUACCAACAGUUAUCUUAAUUGUAGGGUCAUUUUGCAUGUAUAUUUGACUAUUACGUUUUGGUAUACUAAGUUUUGAGAUAGCUAAGGAAGCAAGAUUAUUCCCCAGUAAUAUUUUAAUUGAGUUAGAUUAUCAAACUUCUCACCAUGUUUUCCUUUUGAAGAGAUAAUUAAAUGUUUUAUAUGACAAAAUUACCACAGUUAAUCUGAGUGGAAGUUGUAGGACAUGGUUUUUCUUUGGUGUGAGGUAUUUUCAUUUGUUUUAUUUUCACAAUACUGCCGAAUUCAUGGAAUCCAUUUGAUGCAUCAUUCUCAAAGCUCCAACCCCCUUCUUAUCCAGUCAUUCAGUAACAAUACCCUUUACUUGUCUUCUGAUUAUCAUUUGUGUCAAUUUGGGUUACACAUUAUUUAGGCUUUUUUGUAUACUGUCUUUUUCCCUAUGAAAUUCCUAUAGAAAUAAAGUCUUCAGAGACCUUUGUUCUGAGGACAACACUGAAACAGGAAUCACGAUUCACCCUUUUGCCUCUUACACUUUCUUUUAGCUGGGGCCCUCACUAAAUUACAUUCCUUUACCUAGAUUUUUCCAUAUAAUUUCUUCUGGAUAGUUUAUAAUCAUAGUCCUAAAUUAUCCAGAGGCUUUGAACUACUAUACAGUUGCUGAUUUUAUUUUAUCAUGGAAGGAUGCAUUAUGUAUAAUAAGGCUGUGUGCAGUGUGUGAAGAGUUUGAGAACAGAAGAUUCAUUACUCUUUAGAAUACUUUCCUUCUGUAACUCUCAGUAGUUGCCUUAAUUUAAUUAAUUAAAAAAGAAAAUCCAAUUUGAUCUGUAUAUGGAAGUUGUUUUUUCUUAUCCUUAAAUUUCAUCAGCAGUAAGAAAUCAGGCGCAGUCAUAGAGUUCAUAGGUUUAUAAGACCUUUAUGGAAAGGUUUUUAUUUUGUUGCCUCAUAGAAAGCUAAGAUUCAUAGUCUGUAUGUUCCUUGAAUUCAUAAAGUAAGUAGUGUAUAUAUUCUUUGAAUUUGUGGUAGUGGUUAGGGUAGUCUAGAUGGGUUGCUGUGACUUCAACACUUUUUGUAAUAUUAUUUGAAAAUUGCAUUAAGUUUAAAUGUAGAAACCAGAAUAAAAAGAAUACGAGGAAGACUGUGUUUGCUCUUGUUGCGUGUCAGAUUUCAUUUAUCAUUGGUGUUUCUUUUACAGAGUUGGUCUUCCUUUCUAAGAGAGGCAAAUAGAGCAUUUUUAAAAAUUGUUCCUUCUUAAUAAAUAUUUCAGAAGAUAGCCUUUGUAAUUUUUUAAGGAAGUGUUUAUCAUGUACAUGGGAAUAUCAAAGAAAUGGUCAAGAGACAGAAAACUCACAGUUUCAAUGAAAUUUGGAGAAAAACUUCUAUU